rnacentral:rRNA from 1 species
ACAUCGCCUCUUGAACAAAAAUAAGAGGUCCAGCCUGCCCAGUGACUAAUGUUCAACGGCCGCGGUAUCCUAACCGUGCGAAGGUAGCGUAAUCACUUGUUCUUUAAAUGAGGACUAGUAUGAACGGCACCACGAGGGUUAUACUGUCUCCUCUUUCUAAUCAGUGAAACUAAUCCCCCCGUGAAGAAGCGGGGAUAAAACUAUAAGACGAGAAGACCCUAUGGAGCUUUAAAUUUACCCUCAAGCGCCAAAAUAGAUACCAAGUUUUUAACCUCACCAUAUGAACUCUCGCGCCAUGGGGGCAACUUUUAGGUUGGGGUGACCAUGGAGUAUAAAACAACCUCCAUGCUGAAUAGGCCUCUAAGCCUCGAGCCAAGGGCUACAACCCAUCGCACUAAAACACUAACAUCCAUUGAUCCA